rnacentral:rRNA from 1 species
GAUGAACGCUGGCGGCGUGCCUAAUACAUGCAAGUCGAGCGAACAGACGAGGAGCUUGCUCCUCUGACGUUAGCGGCGGACGGGUGAGUAACACGUGGAUAACCUACCUAUAAGACUGGGAUAACUUCGGGAAACCGGAGCUAAUACCGGAUAAUAUAUUGAACCGCAUGGUUCAAUAGUGAAAGACGGUUUUGCUGUCACUUAUAGAUGGAUCCGCGCCGCAUUAGCUAGUUGGUAAGGUAACGGCUUACCAAGGCAUCGAUGCGUAGCCGACCUGAGAGGGUGAUCGGCCACACUGGAACUGAGACACGGUCCAGACUCCUACGGGAGGCAGCAGUAGGGAAUCUUCCGCAAUGGGCGAAAGCUUGACGGAGCAACGCCGCGUGAGUGAUGAAGGUCUUCGGAUCGUAAAACUCUGUUAUUAGGGAAGAACAAAUGUGUAAGUAACUAUGCACGUCUUGACGGUACCUAAUCAGAAAGCCACGGCUAACUACGUA